UUUAAAUUGAGAGUUUGAUCCUGGCUCAGGACGAACGCUGGCGGCGUGCCUAACACAUGCAAGUCGAGCGAUGAAACUUCCUUCGGGAAGUGGAUUAGCGGCGGACGGGUGAGUAACACGUGGGUAACCUGCCUCAAAGAGGGGGAUAGCCUCCCGAAAGGGAGAUUAAUACCGCAUAACAUUAUUUUAUGGCAUCAUAGAAUAAUCAAAGGAGUAAUCCGCUUUGAGAUGGACCCGCGGCGCAUUAGCUAGUUGGUGAGGUAAGGGCUCACCAAGGCGACGAUGCGUAGCCGACCUGAGAGGGUGAUCGGCCACAUUGGAACUGAGACACGGUCCAGACUCCUACGGGA
rnacentral:rRNA from 1 species